GGUAGGGGAGGGGGUGUUGCGGCGGUUGCAUGCAGGAUCCAAGGAACAAACCAUUCUGAAAUAAUUUUGUCUUGAACAGCUGCAAGAAGAAUUUAACUUUGUUACUGAAGAACAUAUUGAAAAGUAUAUCUAGAUACCUGAAGAUGCAUAGAAGAAAAGUGUUAAAGGAGGAAAUAGUUAUUUACAAGAGCUUGGUUACCAGAUAAACUGAUUGAGUCCAUAAAAGGACUGGCAGCAGAAGCCCACAUCCUUGGUUCCACUGAGAAUUUUUAAAACUUGGAGCAACUUUCAACAUAGUUACGCUUUAGUUAUUCAGUUAUGAGUUGGGUUUUUUUUGGGGGGAGAGGGAGAGGGGGGUUGAAUGUUUAGUAGCAAAUGAUUUCCUCUGUCAGAAUGCAUGUCUUGUUUAUUGAAGUUAUAGAAAAUUAUUACAUAACAUUUAAUUACAGGGAAAGAGCAAAAUGUGUAAUGUAAACUUCAAAAAUGUAUGUGCUUGUGCCGUAACUCCUAAGAUACCAUUGCAAUGGUGACUCAAAAUAACAAUGUGUAUUUUGUUAUUGCUGCUUUACUUGGUGUUUUUAAAAAAUUGCUGUUGACAACCUUGUAAUCAAGUAAGGCUAACUGGACACUUGUGUUCAGACAGAUAAGGCCUUAUCUACUCAAGAGACUUGUUUCUGUGAAUGUUCAGAAUGUAGAGCUAAUAAAUUAUUAAAAGAGGAUGCUACACUA